rnacentral:rRNA from 1 species
UACGUAGGGUGCAAGCGUUGUCCGGAAUUAUUGGGCGUAAAGGGCUCGUAGGCGGUCCAUCGCGUCGGGUGUGAAAAGCUGGGGCUUAACCCCAGUCCUGCUUCCGAUACGGGUGGACUAGAGGUAGGUAGGGGAGAACGGAAUUCCUGGUGUAGCGGUGAAAUGCGCAGGUAUCAGGAGGAACACCGGUGGCGAAGGCGGGUCUCUGGGCCGAUACUGACGCUGAGGAGCGAAAGCGUGGGGAGCGAACAGG